GCUGUUGGAUUAGCUUGUGAGCUGGCUUCCGAGUAGGGGUGGAAACGAGCCGAGCUCGAGCGAGCUUACCUCAGCUCAAGCUUGGCUUGAAAUUAAUUUCGAGCCUAAAGUUAGGCUCAGGCUCGGCUUGAAAUUAAUUCGAGCCGAGCUCGAGUGAGCCUAACUUCAAGUCGAGUGAGCUUGAGCCCUAAACGAGCCACUUGAAAUUCUUAACAUCGUGCAAUCUACAAUUUAAUUUUUAUAAAACAUUAUCUAAAAUUCGAUACAAAAAAUACCAAAUAGUCCAAUAUACAAAAUAAAUGCAUAAAAUACGAUAUUAUAAUAUUAAAAAAAAAAAGGAAAAACGACUCUAUGAGCGAGUGAAAAAGAGAGAGCAAUUAGAGUAGGAUUUUGUUGGUUUAGUUUUGUCCGCCCAAGAAUAUAAAUUCUAUAUACAUAUAAUUAAAAUACAUAAUAUAUAUUAUUUUAUAUAAUUAAAUUAUAUAUUACAUAUACUUAUAUAUAGAGAGAGUUCGGUUACUAUACUGUUAUUAGUAUAGACCCCUUUAUACUCAUAAGUUUUUUAUUGUUAGAUCUAUACUUUUGACCAUUUCCAUCCGUAAAUCAUACUAUUCAACUAACUACCCAUUCAAUCCUAGGAGACCACUAUCAUCCUAACUGCACAUCCAACGAUCGAAAAUUUAUGAAUAUAAAGUGGUAUAUACUCAUAAGAGUAUAGUAGCCCUAGCUAGCCUAUAUAUAUAGAAUUAGGCUACUAUACAAUUAAUAAUAUCAACUACUUGCUAUUAGGUUUCGGCCCUUGAAU
rnacentral:lncRNA from 1 species